AUUGAACGCUGGCGGCAUGCCUUACACAUGCAAGUCGAACGGCAGCAUGAUCUAGCUUGCUAGAUUGAUGGCGAGUGGCGAACGGGUGAGUAAUACAUCGGAACGUGCCCUGUAGUGGGGGAUAACUAGUCGAAAGAUUAGCUAAUACCGCAUACGACCUGAGGGUGAAAGUGGGGGGCCGCAAGGCCUCAUGCUAUAGGAGCGGCCGAUGUCUGAUUAGCUAGUUGGUGAGGUAAAGGCUCACCAAGGCGACGAUCAGUAGCUGGUCUGAGAGGACGAUCAGCCACACUGGGACUGAGACACGGCCCAGACUCCUACGGGAGGCAGCAGUGGGGAAUUUUGGACAAUGGGCGAAAGCCUGAUCCAGCAAUGCCGCGUGUGUGAAGAAGGCCUUCGGGUUGUAAAGCACUUUUGUCCGGAAAGAAAUGGCUCUGGUUAAUACCUGGGGUCGAUGACGGUACCGGAAGAAUAAGGACCGGCUAACUACGUG
rnacentral:rRNA from 1 species